UACGGAGGGGGCUAGCGUUGUUCGGAAUUACUGGGCGUAAAGCGCGCGUAGGCGGACCUGCAAGUCGGGGGUGAAAUCCCGGGGCUCAACCUCGGAACUGCCUCUGAUACUGUUGGUCUCGAGUCCGGAAGAGGUGGGUGGAAUUCCUAGUGUAGAGGUGAAAUUCGUAGAUAUUAGGAAGAACACCGGUGGCGAAGGCGGCCCACUGGUCCGGUACUGACGCUGAGGUGCGAAAGCGUGGGGAGCAAACAGG
rnacentral:rRNA from 1 species